GGAGUACAGCUCAGUGGUAGAGCACAGGCUUAGCAUGCACGAGGUCAUGGGUUCAAUCCCCAAUAACUCCG
rnacentral:tRNA from 1 species